rnacentral:rRNA from 1 species
AAACUAACAAGGAUUCCCCUAGUAACGGCGAGUGAAGCGGGAAGAGCUCAAAUUUGAAAUCUGGUAGCCUUCGGUUGCCCGAGUUGUAAUCUAGAGAAGUGUUUUCCGCGUUGGCCCAUGUACAAGUCCCUUGGAACAGGGCGUCAUAGAGGGUGAGAAUCCCGUCCUUGACAUGGACCCCCAAUGCUUUGUGAUACACUUUCAACGAGUCGAGUUGUUUGGGAAUGCAGCUCAAAAUGGGUGGUGAAUUCCAUCUAAAGCUAAAUAUUGGCGAGAGACCGAUAGCGAACAAGUACCGUGAGGGAAAGAUGAAAAGCACUUUGGAAAGAGAGUUAAACAGUACGUGAAAUUGUUGAAAGGGAAACGAUUGAAGUCAGUCAUGCUCUUUGGAUUAAGCCGUUCUGCGGUGUAUUUCAUUGAGCGGGGUCAACAUCAGUUUUGAUCGCUGGAAAAGGGCAGGAGGAAGGUAGCACUCUCGGGUGAACUUAUAGCCUCUUGUCGUAUACAGUGAUUGGGACUGAGGAACGCAGCAUGCCUUUUGGCCGGGAUUCGUCCACGUACAUGCUUAGGAUGUUGACAUAAUGCUU